GUCGCGGGCGAAUGGCGUUAGGGCCAGGGUGUACUUGCGCGGGCAAGCUCGUGUGGCCGUGGGGUUGGAGUGUAAAAGCGCGCCAGCCCCUGUGGCGCCGGAGGUUGUGGGUGUGCGCAGGCUUGCGCUCCUAGCCUUAGGGUGUCUGAGAGUGUGUGCGCGCGCGCAAGCGCAGACCUAAAUUGUUUUUUACUUUUAUGUGUAUUUGAAAAACUUUUAACGAUAAGGAAAAUAAGGCAAAGUGUCCAUAACAGAAAUAAAGGACUUUUGUUAGAAAUAUUUCGGGCUUUCCUACUGAUGUUAGACCCUAAAACUAUACUUUUUCCCAUGUUUAUCUCUGUGCCAAAAUCCAGUUCUAAAUUACAACCUUCCAAUGCUUUAAGAGCAGCUACUCUCCUCAUUCUCACAUUAGUAAUUCGAAGGAGGCUGUGGCUUACAGGCUCCUUACGAUUCUAGUCCCCGCCCCCGAUGCAAUUCUCGCAGAAAUAUUUUCUAAUGAGAAUCCAGACUUACUCCCUUCUAGGGACUCCCCAAAUUUUUGUAGGGACUGACGUUCUCUUUCCUUUCAUCCUGAUCUCCAAGCCCUGUGCCCUUCUUUAGGCAAAUACGCACUGUUAAUUUUCCAGAAAGUUCUCUGGUUGAGAUUUAAACAUCAUAUGAGUUUACCACUAGAUGCCGCCAAAUCCCAGCAAAGGAUUCGCUGUUUUUUGUUUUGUUUUGUUUUGUUUUCCUUCCGGCAACGGCAAUUGAACUCAGGACCUUGCGCUUGCUGGGCAGGCAGCGCAGCGCCACUGAGCAACAUCCCCAGCAGCUGCUCUUGUAAUUAUGGCAUUUUGCCCCCCUUCCCAUUUGCUAAAUUCUCCAAAUAAUCUGAGGAUCCUGUUAUCUUCAUUCCUGAGGAAAAAUAAAACUGACUUCUGUAAACAGCCCUAUUAGGCGGAGGACUAAAACAAUUCAAUUGAAAUAUUCUUGCUAUUUCCUUCCUUUCCUUUUUUUUUCUCUCCGUACCAGGGAUCAAACUCAGGACCUUGUGCUUGGGAGGCAGGCAUGGCGCCACUGACCUAAAUCCCCAGUAUUUCCUUAAAAAAAAUAUUCUCCAGCAUCCCUCUCUUCACUACCCCUUGCAUUUUAUAGUCACAGAUUUGAUGACCCUAGCUACUGAAUUGAUGAAAAUCCUAAUCUUUCUUGCACACUUUCUUUUGAAAUACUCAGAAUUCCCCCAAAAUAAAAUACACUACAGAUGAUUAGUAACUCAGUAAAGAUAACUCUGAGGUAAAAGUUAGACUCUGGUAUUGAAAACUAAUUUCUUUCCUUUAAAAAUUUUUAACAUAUGUAUUUGUACCCUAUUUUCUACAGUGUACUACUAAAUUUUAUUGUGUCUUUACUGUCAGAAACUUAAUUGUAAAUCCUAUUUCACCACUUACUAGCUCUGUGAUUCUGGCCAAAUUUAUGUUGUGAUUCUCACUUUUGCAUGCUUAUUAUAUUUUAGAUGCUGUUGCAUCCCACACACAGAUAUUCCUUUUUUCUUCACAAAAAUUUUACUAGAUUGGUACUACUAUAUUAAAAUCAAUAGAAAUCAAGCCUUUCAGUUAUGAAUCACACAUAGUUCUAUAUACAAGUUGAGUUUUUAGAGUAGUAGCUCUCAAAGUGUUUUUCCAGAUAGACCAAAAGCAUCAGCAUCACCUGGAAAGUUGUCAGAAACUCAGAUUCUCAGGUCCCACCUCAAACUUAAUCAUAAAUUCUUGGGUGGGGUUUGACAAUCUGUGAAACUAUUCCCAGUGAAUCUAAUGCAUGUUAAAGUUUGAGAACCAUUGUUUUGAAGAGCAGAAAUGCAAUGCUUAUUUUUAUACAUACCACUAGAGGGUGCCACAGAAUAUAAAGCAAAAUAAUAAAUGAUGUAUAUGUUCUGAGACACCCUGCAUAUUAUUGGUCUUGUACAGAUUAAAACUAAUGUUUAGAGGUGUUAAGUUAUUUUUCCAAGUGCACACAACAAGUAUGGGGACCAGGAUUAAUACUUGCUUGUUCAACCAUAAAGGCUUGUCUUUUAGAGCCUCAAAAUACCGUACAUUUAUAGGUAUCCUGUUCUCUGGCUAAUAUUGUAAUAUCCAGAAGAGUGCAGAAAACCAAACCAAGUAAAUGGGAAUAUGUUGAUUUUCAUACCCUUCCUCUUCUCCAUUCUGUAAUACAGUAUCACAUGAGUGUUUCCCUUGUUGGUUUUUUAUUUUCCAAUACUCUCUACUCUUCAGCUUUUUAGUUUAUACCUGACUCUCUUAUGUGUGAUGGGUGAAUCAGAGUGGUGAGGAAAUAUACUUGUUGAAAACCUAUUAGGAACUAUACUAUAUUGCUGUAUACCCUUAAUCCUAAUAAGCCUGUAAGUUAGGUGACAGUUAUCCUUUUAUACAUCACAAAAGUGAGUAUUUAGUCUGUAAUUAUUUUUGUUUGGACAUAUGACUUGUAAGUAAUGGAGCUUGGAUAAUUCCUGGUAUAGCUGACUCUAUUAUCCUACUAAACUUUCCAGACCUGUGUUUUGAAUUUGGUAAGCCUUUUACUAUUCAAGUGACUUUUUUUUUUUCCAGUACUGAGGAUCGAACUCAGGACCUUGCACUUGCCAGGCAGGUGCGGCACCAGUGAGUUACAUCCCCGGCCCUAUUUAAGUGACUUUUAACAAGUUCUCUAACUUUUCCAAGCCUCAGUGUUCCCAUAUACUAUAUUAAGUGAAAACAGGUAUUAAUGCAUUACAGUUUAGAACCACACUAUCCAAUACAGUGUCCGCUAGCACAUGUAGCUUUUAAAUUUGAAUUAAAAUUAAAUAAAUUUUUUAAAAAUUCAGUUCUUAGUUGUACCAGCCACAUUUUAAAGGUGCACCAGCUAUAGUACUUAAGGCUAGCAGCUACUCCAGUAAUACAGAUAAAGAACAUUUUCAACAUCACAGAAAAAUCCUAUUAGAUGGUGCUUAUUGAGAGAUCAUAAGGUAUGUAAAAGGGCAUAGUAUACUUCAUGUCUCAUGGUAGGUACCAAAGAAAAGUGAUUUCCUUUGCUCUUUCUUUUCAGCAUCAGAACUAUUGAGUAUUCUGUUUUAAUGAUAAAAUUAGGAGAGAGGAGUAACUAACCCAAGGUGCUAUAACAAGGAAUCCACAUCUCCUGACUUACUCCAACAUUCUCUCUAGUAGACUCAUUCUUAUGCUUUACUGAGAUUUAAAGGCUAAGGGCAUAAAUAAUGUCAGUUAGUUUUGGAAUCAGAGUGGUAUGAGAGAAAGGCAUAGGAACUGAGUGCUUCCUAUGUGCCAGGCAGCAAAGUGCUCAGCUCUUUUUAACUCUGUUACCUCUCUAAAUCCUCACUGAAGCACAGAGAAGUUAAUACCAAGUUGCUCAGCAAGUAAAUGACAGAGCAAGGAUUCAGGCUUCUCUCUGACUCUAAUGCCCAGGCUUUUUCCUCUUAUGUCAUGCUACCCCUUCAAUAUGAAUAGCUGUGAGUAUUCCCCUGCCAUCUAUGCUUACUAGUGGAAUAAGACUUCAGCAGAUUCCUGACUUAAAGUGAGUUCUCUGAAAAUGUGUUACUCUUUAGAAUUUAUAGCCAAAUCAUUGUCUUCACAAUCUGUUUCAGUUGGAAGGGAAAAAUAGUUGAGGCUUGUUUGGUUCCAAGGCCCAACGCCAAAUAGAAACUACGGCCUCAGGCUUCACAGGACACCUAAUGGCUCCAAGAACCCUAUGUUGAUUUGUAAGGCUACCAUUAGUUCAUACAGUGCGUUAGUGUUAGUUAGAAACACAUGGCACCUAGGGGUGGACAAAUUGUUGAGAAGUGUCCACUUCAGUGGAACAAUGAGAAAAGUGCAUUUUUUUCUCUGGGGCUGCUGUGAUCUUACCAGGGCAGUUGGAAAAUAAAUUUCAGCCUGGACUUGUGCUCUCUUAGUUGAGUACUGUUGUGUAGAAUGCAACUUGCCUGACACUAUUUGCUGGCUUUAUCUUACCUUGUGGCUAAGAUAGCUAUCCUAGGUCUGGAAUGUAGUACUUAGACUGUUCUGGAGAGUGUAGAGAGACACUAGUGUCCUCUCAUGGCUUUUGGGUAAUGGAUGAAAUUGGCCUAUUGUAAGGUUUAUUUGAUAUUUUAAAAAUGUGUUUCUGACGAGCAAAUUGGAUAUUUAUACGAUAGUGUUUACUUAAUCUAAGUGUUAAAAAUCCUAAUAUUUCAAGGCUAAGAAAAAUGGUAUUUCUAUAUUGAGGGUAUCUUACUGAGUGUUUAUACAUGCUUCACUUCAUAGGAAUUUCAUAAAACCAGUCCAGUAAAUUAGUCUAGAUCAGUCUAGUUUGCUAAUACAUAACAGACAGAGCAAAAAUUGGAAAAGAUCACGGAAAAGUUUUAUCUUUUUAGGAGUAUCUAUUCUCUCCUCCUAUAAUUAACCCCUGCCCCAUGACUGACCCAUCGUUUGAUAGAGGGUUUUUUUCAAGUGUCUGAAAACAGUGAAAAACUGAACCUAAUUAUUGAAGUCUUUGGGUGACAUUGGGAUGCCAGAUUUGAACAUUUUCUUUUAUUUUCCCCUUUCUGAGUCGAUAGUUUAGUACACAGUUUGCCAGAUUCGUGGUUUUAUGAAGGACACACGUCACUUAGAAUCAUCAUGUAAAGUUGUCCAUGUUACACAUCAGCCAAGCGAUGAGGACUGAUUUCCACCUGUGUUUGCUGAUGCCUAUAAUCUAAGCUUUACCUCAAGAGGAUGCUUUGAGCCUUUUCCAAGAGGAGUAAGCAGAUAUGGUUGGUGAUGGGGGCACUGUUUAAGGCAAGACCUCAGAAAACAUGUUCUUUGAAGGCCCUGAGUUUGAGACAAAAUGGUUCAAAAUUGAGGACUGAGAAAGAGAGCAAGAAUAGUUCCUAAAAGGAACUUUGAAGCCCACUCCACCCUGAAAAAGGUUCCUUGGCACCAUUUGCUUACCAAAAGAAGGUGAAGGAGCAAGUUGGAAAUGAAAGGUCCUGAAAAGUAAAGAGACUUUGGAGAAAAAGAAGAAACAAAUGAAAACUCAGCCCACAACAGACUCUCUGAGGUACCAGGGAUUGAACUCGGGACUUGUGCUUUUGAGGCAGGCUGCAGAACCUCUGAGCUAA